rnacentral:ncRNA from 1 species
UCCUGACCGAUUGUUCCACGUGGAACAUAAGGACUAACCCAGACAGGAGACUACAAUG